rnacentral:lncRNA from 1 species
UAACAGAGGUUUUGAGAACGGGAAAAACAAGAUGGGGGAAGAAACUAAAGUUCCUGGGGAAGACAUCGCUUCUUUAAAGGCGAAGAUCAAGAAACUAGAAUUUCAAAGUGAAAGAAAAUGCAAAGAACUGAAAAGUGCACACGCUAAAACAAAAAGGCUCAGAGAAACAAGCUGACUGGUUUCUUAUGGAGAUUGAUAGGCUGCUUGAGGAUAAUAAAAAUCUCAGGAAUCAGUCGGAGUCUACUGAUCAUAGCACAUAGGAAAAGAAGAGUAUUUAAAUAAAGUAGAGAGUGAGGCUCGAGUCUAUUGAUCAUAUCACAGUUGGAGUCUAUUGGACAUGUUUAUGUUAUUGAGCACGGAGGACCAUUGUGAAACCAUAAAAAAACUAUAGAAGUAGAGAGUGACGCUCGAUUUCAUUGGGUUCUCCCUGUUUACUGUUACAAUAAAUCAGUAUCAACACAAGACGACAGUUUGGAAAGUUUAUAUUGUUUUGUUAUUUUAUUUUUAAAUUCUACCAAAAUCACCUAUUUAAAUUCCCACCAAAAUCUCCAAAACCCCACCAAAAUCUUUAAAUCCCAUCUAAAUUCUAUCAGAUCUAAAAUCCCAAAAAACUUUUGAAAGCCUAAAUCCAAU